rnacentral:rRNA from 1 species
UACGGAGGGUGCAAGCGUUAUCCGGAUUCACUGGGUUUAAAGGGUGCGUAGGUGGGCAGGUAAGUCAGUGGUGAAAUCUCCGGGCUUAACUCGGAAACUGCCAUUGAUACUAUCUGUCUUGAAUACCGUGGAGGUCAGCGGAAUAUGUCAUGUAGCGGUGAAAUGCUUAGAUAUGACAUAGAACACCAAUUGCGAAGGCAGCUGGCUACACGAAUAUUGACACUGAUGCACGAAAGCGUUGGGGAUCAAACAGGAAUUAGAUACCCG